GUGUGAAGAGAUUGUCCCGUUUCUUCCUCCAAGGAUACGACACCGGGGUAUUGAUCCCAUAAUGAAGAUUUUGGUAGUAUUAAACUUCUAUGCAAGGGGUAGUUAUCAAGGUGCCGUAGGCCUCAACAGCGAUGUACUCAUGGCACAGCAAACUGUGUCUAGGUGCAUCCAUGAAUUCACGGAUGCCUUGAAUAGAGCUGAGAUUUUGAGGAAGUACAUUCGCUUCCCACAAAAUAGGGAAGAAAGGAAUGUCAUCAAACAAAAAUUUUCCGAUAGAUAUGGGAUACCGGGGGUAUGUGGCUGCAUAGACUGCACCCACAUUAAAAUAAUAAGCCCUGCUGAGCAUGAAGAGCGGUGCUUUAAUAGGAAACAUUGGCAUUCCAUUAACUGUCAAGUGAUUUGUGACUCUGAUUGCCUUAUAUUGAGUAUUGAUGCAUCAUACACAUCAUCAUACAUUGGGCAUAUGGGCCCAACAUGAGAUAAAAGCUCACAUGGAAGAACUCUCAAUACAGGGAGAGACUACAUACCUACUGGGUGACUCAGGGUAUCCUCUCCGGUCAUUCAUGAUGACUCCAGUGGACCAUGCAGUAGACGACUCACCUGAAGGGCGCUACAAUAUAAUUCAGAAACGUGCCCGUUCCACUGUAGAGCACACAUUUGGAAUACUAAAAGGGAGAUGGAGAUGCUUAUUAGCCGCCAGAGAAUUAAAUUACACUCCUGAGACCGCUGGCAAAAUUGCAAUUGCAUGCACUGUAUUGCACAACAUGUGCAUACAUGCUCGGCUCGACCAUCCUGAAUUAACAGAGGAGGACCUCGCAGCUGAGAACGCCCUGCCCAUUCCCCAGCAAGCUGCAAUUCCACAAGGACGGGCAUUGGAGGAAGGAAGAAGAGUACGCAGAGUACUAAUACAUUUAUUAGAGGCAUAAUAUGCCCCCGGCUUUGUAUGGAUAUACUUAUAUAAGACAAAACACUCCUUAUUGUGAGGUUGUAGAAGACAUUACUUUUAGUAAUACGGCCGCUGAUUGUACUAUUUCUUUUCUAUGUUUGUGAAACUGUUUCUGUUUGUGUGCAAUAAAGAGUAUUUUAUCUUUA